rnacentral:rRNA from 1 species
UACAGAGGGGGCAAGCGUUGUUCGGAAUUACUGGGCGUAAAGGGCGCGUAGGCGGCCUGCUAAGUCGAACGUGAAAUCCCUGGGCUCAACCCAGGAACUGCGUCUGAUACUGGAUGGCUUGAAUCCGGGAGAGGGAUGCAGAAUUCCAGGUGUAGCGGUGAAAUGCGUAGAUAUCUGGAGGAAUACCGGUGGCGAAGGCGGCAUCCUGGACCGGCAUUGACGCUGAGGAGCGAAAGCCAGGGGAGCAAACGGG